rnacentral:rRNA from 1 species
GGUUAAGCGACUAAGCGUACACGGUGGAUGCCCUGGCAGUCAGAGGCGAUGAAGGACGUGCUAAUCUGCGAAAAGCGUCGGUAAGGUGAUAUGAACCGUUAUAACCGGCGAUGUCCGAAUGGGGAAACCCAGUGCAAUUCGUUGCACUAUCGUUAACUGAAUACAUAGGUUAACGAGGCGAACCGGGGGAACUGAAACAUCUAAGUACCCCGAGGAAAAGAAAUCAACCGAGAUUCCCCCAGUAGCGGCGAGCGAACGGGGAGCAGCCCAGAGUCUGAAUCAGCUUGUGUGUUAGUGGAACGGUCUGGAAAGUCCGACGGUACAGGGUGAUAGUCCCGUACACCAAAAUGCACAGGCUGUGAACUCGAAGAGUAGGGCGGGACACGUGGUAUCCUGUCUGAAUAUGGGGGGACCAUCCUCCAAGGCUAAAUACUCCUGACUGACCGAUAGUGAACCAGUACCGUGAGGGAAAGGCGAAAAGAACCCCGGCGAGGGGAGUGAAAAAGAACCUGAAACCGUGUACGUACAAGCAGUGGGAGCACCUUCGGGUGUGACUGCGUACCUUUUGUAUAAUGGGUCAGCGACUUAUAUUCUGUAGCAAGGUUAACCGUAUAGGGGAGCCGCAGGGAAACCGAGUCUUAACUGGGCGUUAAGUUGCAGGGUAUAGACCCGAAACCCGGUGAUCUAGCCAUGGGCAGGUUGAAGGUUGGGUAACACUAACUGGAGGACCGAACCGACUAAUGUUGAAAAAUUAGCGGAUGACUUGUGGCUGGGGGUGAAAGGCCAAUCAAACCGGGAGAUAGCUGGUUCUCCCCGAAAGCUAUUUAGGUAGCGCCUCGUGAAUUCAUCUUCGGGGGUAGAGCACUGUUUCGGCUAGGGGGUCAUCCCGACUUACCAACCCGAUGCAAACUACGAAUACCGAAGAAUGUUAUCACGGGAGACACACGGCGGGUGCUAACGUCCGUCGUGAAGAGGGAAACAACCCAGACCGCCAGCUAAGGUCCCAAAGUCAUGGUUAAGUGGGAAACGAUGUGGGAAGGCACAGACAGCCAGGAUGUUGGCUUAGAAGCAGCCAUCAUUUAAAGAAAGCGUAAUAGCUCACUGGUCGAGUCGGCCUGCGCGGAAGAUGUAACGGGGCUAAACCAUGCACCGAAGCUGCGGCAGCGACACUAUGUGUUGUUGGGUAGGGGAGCGUUCUGUAAGCCUGCGAAGGUGUGCUGUGAGGCAUGCUGGAGGUAUCAGAAGUGCGAAUGCUGACAUAAGUAACGAUAAAGCGGGUGAAAAGCCCGCUCGCCGGAAGACCAAGGGUUCCUGUCCAACGUUAAUCGGGGCAGGGUGAGUCGACCCCUAAGGCGAGGCCGAAAGGCGUAGUCGAUGGGAAACAGGUUAAUAUUCCUGUACUUGGUGUUACUGCGAAGGGGGGACGGAGAAGGCUAUGUUAGCCGGGCGACGGUUGUCCCGGUUUAAGCAUGUAGGCUGAUUGUCCAGGCAAAUCCGGAUAAUCAAGGCUGAGGUGUGAUGACGAGGCACUACGGUGCUGAAGUAACAAAUGCCCUGCUUCCAGGAAAAGCCUCUAAGCAUCAGGUAACAUCAAAUCGUACCCCAAACCGACACAGGUGGUCAGGUAGAGAAUACCAAGGCGCUUGAGAGAACUCGGGUGAAGGAACUAGGCAAAAUGGUGCCGUAACUUCGGGAGAAGGCACGCUGGUGUGUAGGUGAAGCCCCUGCGGGUGGAGCUGAGACCAGUCGAAGAUACCAGCUGGCUGCAACUGUUUAUUAAAAACACAGCACUGUGCAAACACGAAAGUGGACGUAUACGGUGUGACGCCUGCCCGGUGCCGGAAGGUUAAUUGAUGGGGUUAUCCGUAAGGAGAAGCUCUUGAUCGAAGCCCCGGUAAACGGCGGCCGUAACUAUAACGGUCCUAAGGUAGCGAAAUUCCUUGUCGGGUAAGUUCCGACCUGCACGAAUGGCGUAAUGAUGGCCAGGCUGUCUCCACCCGAGACUCAGUGAAAUUGAACUCGCUGUGAAGAUGCAGUGUACCCGCGGCAAGACGGAAAGACCCCGUGAACCUUUACUAUAGCUUGACACUGAACAUUGAGCCUUGAUGUGUAGGAUAGGUGGGAGGCUUUGAAGCGUGGACGCCAGUCUGCGUGGAGCCAACCUUGAAAUACCACCCUUUAAUGUUUGAUGUUCUAACGUUGGCCCCUUACCGGGGUUGCGGACAGUGUCUGGUGGGUAGUUUGACUGGGGCGGUCUCCUCCCAAAGCGUAACGGAGGAGCACGAAGGUUAGCUAAUCCUGGUCGGACAUCAGGAGGUUAGUGCAAUGGCAUAAGCUAGCUUGACUGCGAGCGUGACGGCGCGAGCAGGUGCGAAAGCAGGUCAUAGUGAUCCGGUGGUUCUGAAUGGAAGGGCCAUCGCUCAACGGAUAAAAGGUACUCCGGGGAUAACAGGCUGAUACCGCCCAAGAGUUCAUAUCGACGGCGGUGUUUGGCACCUCGAUGUCGGCUCAUCACAUCCUGGGGCUGAAGUAGGUCCCAAGGGUAUGGCUGUUCGCCAUUUAAAGUGGUACGCGAGCUGGGUUUAGAACGUCGUGAGACAGUUCGGUCCCUAUCUGCCGUGGGCGCUGGAGAAUUGAGGGGGGCUGCUCCUAGUACGAGAGGACCGGAGUGGACGCAUCACUGGUGUUCGGGUUGUCAUGCCAAUGGCACUGCCCGGUAGCUAAAUGCGGAAGAGAUAAGUGCUGAAAGCAUCUAAGCACGAAACUUGCCCCGAGAUGAGUUCUCCCUGAGACUUUAAGUCUCCUGAAGGAACGUUAAAGACGAUGACGUUGAUAGGCCGGGUGUGUAAGCGCAGCGAUGCGUUGAGCUAACCGGUACUAAUGAACCGUGAGGCUUAACCUU